CCAUUUUUUCAUUUUUUUUCCUUUUCCUUCCAUCGGACUGGCUGCAAUCGCCGGACGCGGCUGUGCUCGAGUGUUGGAGGGCCAAACCCAUUGGAGGGGGGGUGGUUCCGUCUGGGAUCGCCACCAUGGGAAUGGUUGGCAGAGCUCUUCCCCUUCCCUUGUUUCAACGAGGAAGAGAAGAAAACCAGAGAGAAAGAAAAAGAGAAGAAAAAGGAA
rnacentral:lncRNA from 1 species